UGCCAGCACAUGCAUUGAUAUCUAGUAUCCAUUAUUCAUUAAUAUAAUUAUGAUAAUUACUAAUAUAUACAAGCAACUUAAACAGGCAGGAGAGGUUGUACUGCCAGCUUAGUCGAAGGAUAAUUUUGUCAUUUCAUAAUUUCAGCCACUACAAAAGCCCCAUUUCAAAGGGCAUUUCAUCAUUUCAGAACAACUUCAGCCAACGCAAAACCCCCCAUUCUACAGGAAAUCUUUGUCGUUUCACACCAAGUUCAACCACCAGAAAACUCAAAACAAAAUUGACGAUGAUAACAACGAAGAACAAGCAAAAGGAUAGAUCUUAAACGUAUACCCUUCUUCCUGCAAAAACUUUCGAUCUUAAGGAUCAGAUUAGUAAAAUUGGGACAAAAGAGACAACACAUCCAACAUGACUGCAGACUUCAGCUGCACUACAAAUAGCCCUUCUGCGUCGCCCCGUCAAGAUACAGGCCUGCUCUUCUUUGCCCUAUGAACUCUAGACACAGUCUUAGGAAUUUUGAGCUUGCAAAACAAAGAUGAGGGAGGGGUAUUAUUGUGGGGUUGAGAGAGGGGGAAAAGAGAAAAGCAACAACAAAAACAACAAUAAAUAUAAUAGUAAUAGACUAUGUUUGUAAUUAUGAUUAUAUUUACGAAAAAAUAAUUUAACUAAAUUAUGUAAGAAUAUUAUAUUUAAUUUAAUAAAUUAUAUAAAAAAUAAGAUUAAAAUAAAUAAAUAAANNNNN
rnacentral:lncRNA from 1 species